AUACAGAGGGUGCGAGCGUUAAUCGGAAUGACUGGGCGUAAAGCGCGCGUAGGCGGCUUAUUAAGUCAGAUGUGAAAUCCCCGGGCUCAACCUGGGAACUGCAUCUGAUACUGGUAAGCUAGAGUUUUGGAGAGGGAAGUAGAAUUUCAGGUGUAGCGGUGAAAUGCAUAGAGAUCGGAAGGAAUACCAGUGGCGAAGGCGACUUCCUGGCCAAAAACUGACGCUGAGGUGCGAAAGCGUGGGUAGCAAACGGGAUUAGAAACCCUAGUAGUCC
rnacentral:rRNA from 1 species